rnacentral:rRNA from 1 species
UACGUAGGGUGCGAGCGUUGUCCGGAAUUAUUGGGCGUAAAGAGCCCGUAGGCGGUGUGUCACGUCGGCCGUGAAAACCUGCAGCUUAACUGUGGGCGUGCGGUCGAUACGGGCAUCACUGGAGUUCGGCAGGGGAGACUGGAAUUCCUGGUGUAGCGGUGAAAUGCGCAGAUAUCAGGAGGAACACCGGUGGCGAAGGCGGGUCUCUGGGCCGAUACUGACGCUGAGGAGCGAAAGCGUGGGGAGCAAACAGG